UACGGAGGGUGCAAGCGUUAAUCGGAAUUACUGGGCGUAAAGCGCACGCAGGCGGUUUGUUAAGUCAGAUGUGAAAUCCCCGGGCUCAAACUGGGAACUGCAUCUGAUACUGGCAAGCUUGAGUCUCGUAGAGGGGGGUAGAAUUCCAGGUGUAGCGGUGAAAUGCGUGGAGAUCUGGAGGAAUACUUGUGGCGAAGGAGGCCCCCUGGACGUAGACUGACGCUCAGGCGCGAGAGCGUGGGCUGCAGACAUG
rnacentral:rRNA from 1 species